rnacentral:rRNA from 1 species
AGAGCGAACGCUGGCGGCAGGCCUAACACAUGCAAGUCGAGCGCCCAGUAAUGGGAGCGGCAGACGGGAUAGUAACACGUGGGAACGUACCUUUCAGUUCGGAACAACCCAGGGAAACUUGGGCUAAUACCGAAUACGCCCGUAAGGGGAAAGAUUUAUCGCCUUUAGACGGGCCCGCGUCGGAUUAGCUAGUUGGUGGGGUAAUGGCCUACCAAGGCAACGAUCCGUAGCUGAUCUGAGAGGAUGAUCAGCCACACUGGAACUGAGACACGGUCCAGACUCCUACGGGAGGCAGCAGUGGGGAAUCUUGGACAAUGGGCGCAAGCCUGAUCCAGCCAUGCCGCGUGAGUGAAGAAGGCCUUCGGGUUGUAAAGCUCUUUUGUCAGGGACGAUAAUGACGGUACCUGAAGAAUAAGCCCCGGCAAACUUCGUGCCAGCAGCCGC